UUUCUCCAUGACACCUAUGAAGGGCAGAGCCCCUGGGAACUCGGCAGCCCCUUGGCAACACACCAACUACAACAACAUGAUCUCUUAUCCCAAGAACAAAAUCCCAAACUACAUACAGUUUCUGCCCAACCAAGACCAAGGCACUCAAGGGUUAGGGUUAGAGUUAGGACUCCACUUGCUUAUAAACAGCAGCUCUUCCUAGCACCUGACUGCACCCAGCCUGACUUCCUCAAUUCCAGGGUGGCUCAGCCCAGCAGAGGAUCUGCGAGCUGGGAAAACUUUCCACUGCCUUGGAGACUGACUGAGAGACUGGGCGUUGGCUAAAUCUUCUUCCUUCUCCUUUUGCAGAUGUGGCCUUGCUCUGUGACCUCACCCGUCUGUCAGAAAUAGAUUAUGCACUGAGAAUCAGGGGUGGCUCCAAGGGAAAAAAACAACCAAAACAAAAUGCUCUGGCCUCAAGGGUACUACUUCAGUUCAGCAGAUGUUUAGCAAGUGCCCACUAACCAAAAUGGUGUAGGGCACUUGCUAGGGGUGAAUCUUGGCCUGGACCAGCAGGUCUCUGCUUUUUUUUUUUUUUUUUCCUUAUCUUAGAACCACGGGAAGGUCUCUGCUUUUAAGCCAGGAAUACUCAGGAUCAAAAGUUUGCUGCAAGACCCUCAGGGUAGAAAAUCUUCAGUGGGCUUCUGGUUAGAUUCCUGGGAGAUCAGAAAUCUGCAUUUGAACCAGCAACACUGGGGCUCCCAUUGUCACAUGCCUCCCCACCAAUAGCAUGCUCUGAAAUGGUGACACCAGUCUCAGUUAAGGCUGAGUUUACAAGACCACUGUGACCACCAUAACUGAUACAGGAUCAUUUCUCUAGAAAUCCUGGGGUGCGUACGAGGAAAUUAAACUUGUGCAGAAGAUGGUGCGUAAAUAAGUUGGAGCAUGGAGCACGGGGUCAAGGAUAACAUUAGCGUGGCCUGGGAUGCAGUGUGGGGAAUGGCCACGAGGAGGAAGAAAUGAAUGCAAGCAGCAGGGUGAGAGAACACACAGACAUUGGUGACUCUGUGAGCAGCAGUGAAAGGGCGAGAAUAACAGAUGUCUCCUAUGUGCUGGGUCAGGGUCACCAGUUCAUGAGUGCACCCCAUAGCAAGAUAGAUGGGACCAACCUCUCACAGGUGGCAUGGAAGGCCGCAGGACUGUCACAUCCACGGCUCUAACCCCAAGUAUAGCCCUGUUUCCCAUGAACAAUGUGAUUAAGGCAAAUGUAUCUGCAUGGAAUCCAAAUAAGUCAUCUAAAGAUUAAUAUUACAGGACUGAUUCCGAGCUGGAAGCUCUGAGACAUAUUUACGCUCGGGGAAGUUGUUUGGUUUUUAUUUCCCCCAUAGCUGGUAUAUAUCAGUGAAGGCUGCAUGUAAUGAAUAACAGCAUGUAUGAUAAAUUUUAAAGCAAACAGAAUAAAAACUCCAAGAAUGCUAAUGCAAA